CUGCAGCCCGAGUGGUGGCCGAUAUUAUUGAGCCUAAAGCGUCCGUAGCCGGUCUGGUAAAUUCUUGGGUAAAUCGAGCAGCUCAACUGUCCGAAUUCCGAGGAGACUGCCAGACUUGGGACCGGGAGAGGUCAGAGGUACUCCAGGGGUAGGGGCUAAAUCCUGUAAUCCUUUGGGGACCACCAGUGGCGAAGGCGUCUGACUAGAACGGAUCCGACGGUAAGGGACGAAACCCUGGGGCGCGAACCGGAUUAGAUACCCGAGUAGUCC
rnacentral:rRNA from 1 species